GGGUAUGUAGCUUAAAGGAUAAAGUAAUGGUUUCCGGAGCCAUCGAGUGGGGGUUCAACUCCCUCCUUACCCG
rnacentral:tRNA from 1 species